AGGGCACCAGCAUUAGAUCUGGCCAGCGUCGAACGAUUGUGUGAGGUCACGAUCAUUAUCCCUCUCCGAUCUCCUUCCCCUGCUCGUCGGCAAGCACAGAUCGUGCCCUAGCCGGGAUUUGUGGAGGGUUCUGACCUCUUCUCUGUGCGUUAGCAAGAACAAGACCGAGCCCUAAUCGGGAUAUUGGAGGGGUGCUGUGGUGAUUUCAGCCAUCACAGAUUGAUUGGGUUGGUUCCUCCACCGGAGUUGUGAUCAUCUCCGGCAAUUGAAGCAGUAGAGGACCUUGAUCUAUACGAGCGGCGUGACGUGGGGUGGUUCUGUUGAUACGAGAUAUCUGGAGGCGGGUAUUUCUUCCUUUUCUCCUAUUUAGUUCUUUGAACUAUAAAGCAUGGUUGUUUUUGAAUGCUUAGGUUGCAUUACCUUAAAUCUGUAUAUUUGUUUUAUUCCUGCUUGUCUCCUUCUAUUUGAGCUUUGAUAUGAUCAUCUUUACUUCGAUACAGUCUCACCCUUGAUAUCAGAACUCUGUGCAUGUGUAUUGAUAGAGUUGGUAUCAUAGAGUCGUCUGACUGGUACGAUUAGCGUGUUUAUCAUGCAUAUUGAUGUCGAGUGUAUAUGUGACGGGUAUGUGGUAUGGGGGUUGUA